rnacentral:lncRNA from 12 species
CAUUAUUUGUUUCUGGCCUGGCCCCUGGGGGCGUCUGAGUUUGUCACCUCCUUGAGUAUAGGACUGUGGGACACUGGAGGGAGGCAUGCAAUUGUGUUGGCCCAUGGCUCAGUGAGAGGCCUAGUCUUGGGAGGGUUUUCUCAUCUUGCCUGGAUUAAGAUGACUCACAGGGCCAGUAUGGGUCUCUGGCAGAGCCAGCUUUCCUUUCCUACUUUGUUUUUAUAAAACAGAAAUAGAAGUUUCCAUAACGUGGUACAACUCCACCCAGCACUGGCAGGCCUUGGGAAGUCACCGCUGUUUGUGAGUGUCCAAGGGAGAGCUUUGGUUGGGAGCCUGCUAUUUGCUCAUGGGUUCACAGAGCCUCACAGAGCAGGACAGCAUGUGCUCAUCUCUACUGUAGGCUCUGUCUGAAUGCAGGUACCCUCCACUGGGUCCUCCUUCAGGAAAGAUGAUCAAUGCAAUGGAUUCCUCAGGCCACAAGACAGUGAUCAGGUCUGACCCGAUGAGGAUGAUCCGUGCAGAGCCUGGUGGCAAGCGCUGGAAUCUCAUUGUCUCGCUCCCUCCUUGCAACAACUCCAUGAAGCGGGUCUCAUCAUCAUCCCCAUAUCACAGGUGA